CCACACCAGAGAUUCCAAGAUGGGAGAGUCCAUCCAUCCUUCAGCUCAAGUGAAAUCUUGGUCUGCAGCGGGGAGGGGAGAGAGCGGAAGAGGAGACACAGAGAAGGAACAAUAUGUGAAGCCAGUUCACAUCUCAGUACGAAGAAACCCACCAGGCUCAAAUUCACUGGAAACCCAACCUGAAGUAUUACUGUAUCCACGGCAACCACAGCAACUGUAAUCACCACCGGCCUGACCACCACCACUGCUACCAGCAUGGAGCACAGGCUCACCGUGGACCACAUCUGGUGCCCUCACGGCUGGAAGCCGUCGGUGUUCAAAUCCCCAGGGUCACCUCAGCUGUUGGUCCUGCUGGAAUAAUAUCCUUCUCUUUCCCAGGGCACAUUUCCGGUUUUUCUUCUUUGGCUGAACGCAGAAUGUGACAGUGUGUAGGCUGUGGGCUUUCACACCUGGGAGUAGAAGUGGCACUGAAAUGGCUUUGCAUUCAUCCCGG